CCUACGGGAGGCAGCAGUCGAGAAUCAUUCACAAUGGGGGAAACCCUGAUGGGGCGACGCCGCGUGGGGGAAUGAAGGGCUGCGGAUUGUAAACCCCUGUCAUGUGGGAGCAAAUUAAAAAGAUAGUACCACAAGAGGAAGAGACGGCUAACUCUGUGCCAGCAGCCGCGGUAAUACAGAGGUCUCAAGCGUUGUUCGGAAUCACUGGGCGUAAAGCGUGCGUAGGCUGUUUCGUAAGUCGUGUGUGAAAGGCGCGGGCUCAACCCGCGGACGGCACCUGAUACUGCGAGACUAGAGUAAUGGCGGGGGAACCGGAAUUCUCGGUGUCGCCGUGACAUGCGUAGCUCUC
rnacentral:rRNA from 1 species